UGUGGAGAGACAAAGGUGAGGGUGACUGAUGCCCUGCACAGCUCCUCCUCUGGACAGGAAAGUCAGUCACACCUCACACCGGGAACAGGACUCAAAUGCGGGAGGAGGUAUGACAAGCUUGUGGAAACCAAGUCAGACUACAAGAAAAUUGCAAACAUUCAUAAACAUUCAGGUUAUGACUUUUUUUCAACAAAACAAAGGCAGAAUGAGCAUCACAAACUGUAACAGGUGAGUGAUCUGUCUGGGGGAAAAUUGUAUACAGACAAAAUCAUGGUUUGGGCUUUAAGAAUUAUAGGCUCUGUUUGGCAUGUUUUGGAGGUUCUGGAGGAAUUACCAUCAACAGUGACAUACUGAUUGAACACAUAAGAA